ensembl:lncRNA novel transcript
GUCCUGCCUCGCGGUCUAGGGAAGGGGUCUCGGCCACCUCCUCCCGCAGCCUUCCAAAUCAAGAUGGACUCGCAGGAGACUACACCCUGCGUCUGCAGAACCUCAGAAUACAGAACCACCAGGGGUUCCUGGCCCAUGGCCCUGGGAGGAUUGCUGUUGGGGAGAUGGGAAGGAAUCUAGGGAGGCCGAGGCCCGCAACAACCAUCCCCGAGGACCUCAGAGCACAGUCUUCCCCCCUCGGGCAUCCCCAAAGAACAUUCAAGUCUGAGCCUCAAGGAGCCUCUGCGACUCGGUGUCUAGAUCCAGGAAAUGGAGAAUGAGCCGUGACUUUGGAUGCUUCACUCUUGUCCAUCAGGCUCGGAAUUGGGUAGCCCGGCUCUGCAGGGACAGUCACGGAGCUGAAAAACUGCUGCCUAAUGAAGCUGUUUUCUUCUACCACCGGCUCACCCUCAAAUUAUUUCCUGAGCGAACUCAAGAACCUUCCUGGGCUAAGCCCCAAUUUUGGGGCUCGCCUGCCCCUGCAUCACAGCUUCCUCUUCUGUUCACAGCUGCAACCGCCUACUCAACCUUCUGCGGUUCCUCUCCCUGCCCCUCCACAGUGGCUGCUGAUGGGAGCUCUGGCUCCCUGCGUUUUCACUAUCUCCCAGUCAAAUGCAGAGUCCCUGUGCAAUUUAAAUGCUUCUCAGCUAAGAACAGAGAAGGGGAUAGCAUAAGGAUAUUCAAAAGAUUCAAGAAAUCUCAAAAGUGAUCACAAAACAUUUGUCUCUGACCAACCAGAAACAUCGACGGGUGAGAAGGGCAUUUCCUCUAGCUGAAUUCUUCAUGGGUCUUCAGGCUCUGUUUUCACUUUGGAUUUUCUGGAGUCUCCUGAAGGUUACCUGAAAUCUUGUUGGUCCUGAAUAUUGUAUGUGGAGUCCCAAGCUGCAAGAAGUCAGUGGGGCUGGACGGGAGCCAAAAUCAGAGACUCAAGCAGCACAGCUGGGCCCCAUUGAAAGUGAGACCAGCUGUCCCAGUUGGAAGCUGGGGUAUAGAGCUGGGGAUGGGUGGAGGCAGUGACAGGCUCCAUGUAUUGGUCAUUCAGACUCCCCAGUAGCCUCAGGACCCAACUCCCACAGGUCAGAGAAGACCUGGUGGAGGGCCUUAUGCAAACCUCAGUGGGUGAUGCAGGAGGGAGUUUUCUGAGCAGGAAUGCCAACAAAAAAGGCCUUCAAAGGAAGGCCCUGCUUGGGAC